AGUUAGAGGAUAAGAUGCGGGAGUCACAUCCCGACUUAUUUGUAAACCCUUAAGUUUCGAGGGCGAAACUAUUUUAAGGGGGGUGGUAUUGUAAGGCCCUAAGUUCAAUUUGGAACAAUUUUAUGAAAGUUUGAAUAAAAUUGGGGUUUUAGCUAAUGUUUGAUAACUGGCAGAUUAGAACUGUCAACUUGUGCGAAUUUUUAGAGGGUCUUAACGACUUCAUUUGGUAAAACUUCCUUCAUGAUAGUUGUAGCCCUUUAAGUCUAGAAAAUUCUCCAAGUGAUUUCGCGUCAAUCCGACCUCUGUAGCUUAAGAUAUUUUCGUUUUAGUGACUGUCGUUAAGGCUGUACAGUACCAGCGAGUAAAUUAGUUUGUUUCCUUCUAAUUCCGAAUUGGAUUAUGAAAUUACUUAAGAGGGCUUAAGUUUUUAAUUAGAUUCAGGUCUGAUUAAGUUAUUGGGUCAAGGGUUUGACUUGGAGCGGGCUCAAGAGAAAAGAAAAGAAACCCAAACCCAUGAUGAGGGGGAGCCCGCGGUUGUAUUAGGGUUCUGAAGGGGGGAAAAAUUUCUUUUCCUUUCAGUUCUGAAACAGAAACCCUUGCACUCCUUACGUAAAGAAAACAGAAGAGAAAAGAGUGAGAGAACCACCCCUUGAACCCUUAUCCGCCGCCGACCAAACCACCACCGCAACCCGUGACGCCGCGCGAGUGAGAGAGCCUUGCGAGAGGGAGAGGAUUCGCGUGGAGGAGGAGAAGAGGGACGUGGACAGCAAGCAACUGAGUUCUGAACCUACAUCUUUUCUCUUUUUCAGACCAAGAACCCAAGAUGGUCGUGAAGAUAAUGACGAGGACUCAUUCUUGGGAGUUGAUGCUACGUGGCGAGCCACUACCGGAUGACGACUACACUUCUGAUGAAGAGGAAGAAGAUAAAGAGGAAGAAGCCAAGGAUAUGGUUGGGUUGUGAGACAUCCAUUUUUCUUUUGGGUUGAGAGUACCGAGUUUUGGAAGUAUUGAACCAUUACUUUAUUUUAGUUGAGAUAGUUUAACUUGAUGUAAUUUACUUUGAAGUUUUCUUCCGGAUAAUUAUUUCAUACUCUUUUCAAUGAUUAAUAAAGUUUGAGGUUUACGUUGA